GAUGGUUUCUAAAACAGUGAGAGUUGCGGGGAGAGCAGUGCUCAUGUUUUAGCCUUGUUUAGUUGUAUUGCACUCCAGAUUUGAUCUUGUUUAGUCUUUAGUAAAAAAAUCACCCAACUGCUUCAAGUUUAUUCAAUCUUAGCAGUAAUACAAAAAAUCAUUAGUUAUCAGUGUUUUUGUGUUUAAUCCAAUCUUAUCUAUCAUUUUUUUGUCAGCCUUCUUUCUCCCUGUUUUUAGUUCUCAGUUAUCUAUUUUUUUAGAUCAUUGGUUAUCAUUCACAUGUCAGUGUGUUUGUAUUUAGUUUAUCAUUCAGCUUUGUAUUUAUUUUUUGUCUGUCAUCUUCUUCUAGUUGAUCAGUCCAUAUUGUCUUUCUUAUCGGUUUUGUCAUUAGUAAUUAGUUAUUAGUCUUGUUUUGUCCUCUAUGUUAGUUAGUUCAUCAGUGUAUUUAGUUUUUAGUUAUAAUUUAUAAUUAUUUUGCCUUACUAUUUAUCAUUUUCCAGCUUCCAUAUCAUUCUUCAUUUAUCAGUCAUCUGCAUUGUUUCUUUCUCCCUGUUUUUAGUUCUCAAUUAUCUUUUCUUGGAUCAUUAUUUAUCAUUCAUAUGUCAGUGUGUUUGUAUUUAGUUUAUCAUUUAGUCUUUGUAUUUAUUUUCUGUCUGUCAUCUUUUAUUGUUUUCAGUCUUGUUCAUCAGUUCCUUUCAAUUUUUUUUGCUCAAACUAAUCUUUGUGUAUUUUUAAAAUUAAACCGUAUCAGUCUUCCAUUUUUUAGGUCGGUCAGUUUCAUUCUUUGUUUUCAUCUAGGUGUAUUUGUUUAUAUCUAGAGCUCCCAAUUAACCUAAUUUAUGAGAAAAGUUUUCACGGUCCAAACAACGCCUAAGUUGGUUUCGAUUAUGAGGCUAUGCCUUUUUUAAAAUUAUGGUUCUAAAAGCCAGGGCACACGUGCAACGCAUUUUUCAGUGUCACGCUAGCGAAAGCCUUUUCAUUAAUGUGUUCACUUAUUAGGUCUUCAGUCAUUCGAUUGUCAUCUUGAGUCGUUGUAGUUCACUUAUUAGGUUUACAGUCUUCUUUUCUCUUCUGCUGUCUGUUUUAUCCAGUCAUUGUUGUUCAAAUUUCCUCUAAUUUUCUUCAGUUUAUUCAAGUAUAAUUUUUCCUUGAUCUUCUUUUGCUUAGUUGCUCUUAGUUCUAGGCCAUACAGAAUUCUUACUCACUCUUAGUUUUAGUAAAUCUACAUUUAUCAACAGUUUUUUAUAGUUUGUUUUUACACAUAAUUAGUUAACCCUAGGUGUACUCAUAUUGGAUCUUACAUGCUUAUUCCUAUCUAGUUUUCGGUCAGAGACCAGAUGAAAGUAGUUUUCAGACUAGUAUUACUAUAUAUAGAAGAAAGGUCAGCCAGCAUAGCGCUGCAAGUUCGACAUUGUCUGCUCGCGCUAGGGAUGGAAUGGAAGUUGUCAUAAAUUAUAUCAUGGGAUCAGUGCUCCUUUUUCUAUGAGCUUGUAUCAUUUAGCUAUUAUUCAGUUUCUUGGAGUUUAGGCUUGGAAUGGAUUCGCUAUACCAUGGAUCAUGUGUUAACUUGUAUCAGUGUUGUACUGGCCUCUCAUACUUAUAUGAUUUGGAUGAAUAAGGUAACAAAUUUUUUCUUUUGCAUCAUUGUCCUUUCAUACAUUUCAGAUUUUGAUGAAUUGCAGGAGAUCCUUAUAUUAUUUCUUCAGUGUUUUAUCAGUCAGUGAGCUAGAACCUAGUUCUUGGUUAGUUUAAUCUUUCUUCGGUUUCUAUAUGUUCCUAGGUGAAUUAUCAGUACUGUUCAGUGUUACAUUCGGUGUUUCAUUACUUUCUUUCUUCAGAUUUGUCCAUGCUUUUCAGUUGUGAUAUAUGGCACUUUUGCAAAAAAAAAUCUUCAGUUCUUCAAAUUUUCUAUCCAGUUUUUUUUCAUUGUCUUAUAUCUCUUACUUUACUUCAUUUACUUUUUUGUACUCGUAUAAUUCUCAUUUCCUCAUUCUUAUUCUUCAAUCCUUUCUUUUUAUAUGACUUACCACUCUUUCAAUCUUUCGCCCUAUUCAUUUAAUUUUACCGAAAAAAGGUUUCCCCCCGCUUUGUAUACAAAGCAACCAACCGAACCAUACAGGGAUAGGUGCUAGGAUGGAAGCAGCACAGUCACGCCCAAACGAAACGACAGAGAAAAGCAAAAGAAACAAUUGUAGUAAGUUUGAGUGAUGCAAUUUUGAGUUUUGGUUCGCCUUGUCAAUUGUGACAGCGGGGUCAUUCUCAGUUCCUGAUUUUUUUUUCUUGCAGGGUGUUAUUUAAUUAUUUAAUUGAACGGUUCAGGGUUUGAAGAUGUUACUUAGGAACAACCAGAAUUGUUCGAUAUUUCUCUGCAAAUAAAAGAACCACUUGAUAUUAUAGAAGACAGGUGUCGACCAUUGCUGACUUUUUGAUUGAAAAGGCAGCAAGUAUUUUAGGGUACCACAUAGUGCGAAGACACACAAUACGAGAGAGCAAGUUGCGUCAAUCUCUGAGAGAUCAUCAAAGUUCAGUUCGACUACUGUACGACAUGUCACCUUCUGACAUCAGCUGAACACUGCUAUAACUAAA
rnacentral:lncRNA from 1 species